rnacentral:rRNA from 1 species
UUUUAUUUGAGAGUUUGAUCCUGGCUCAGGAUGAACGCUGGCGGCGUGCCUAACACAUGCAAGUUGAGCGAUUUACGUCGGUAAAGAGCGGCGGACGGGUGAGUAACGCGUGGGUAACCUACCCUGUACACACGGAUAACAUACCGAAAGGUAUGCUAAUACGGGAUAAUAUAUUUGAGAGGCAUCUCUUGAAUAUCAAAGGUGAGCCAGUACAGGAUGGACCCGCGUCUGAUUAGCUAGUUGGUAAGGUA